rnacentral:rRNA from 1 species
CAUGAUCUUUAUGCCAAAGAUUUAUCGCUUCAAGAUGGCCUCGCGUCUGAUUAGCUAGUUGGCGGGGUAACGGCCCACCAAGGCGACGAUCAGUAGCCGGACUGAGAGGUUGAACGGCCACAUUGGGACUGAGAUACGGCCCAGACUCCUACGGGAGGCAGCAGUGGGGAAUAUUGGGCAAUGGGCGCAAGCCUGACCCAGCAACGCCGCGUGAAGGAAGAAGGCUUUCGGGUUGUAAACUUCUUUUAAGAGGGAAGAGCAGAAGACGGUACCUCUAGAAUAAGCCACGGCUAACUACGUGCCAGCAGCCGCGGUAAUACGUAGGUGGCAAGCGUUGUCCGGAUUUACUGGGUGUAAAGGGCGUGCAGCCGGGUCUGCAAGUCAGAUGUGAAAUCCAUGGGCUCAACCCAUGAACUGCAUUUGAAACUGUAGAUCUUGAGUGUCGGAGGGGCAAUCGGAAUUCCUAGUGUAGCGGUGAAAUGCGUAGAUAUUAGGAGGAACACCAGUGGCGAAGGCGGAUUGCUGGACGAUAACUGACGGUGAGGCGCGAAAGUGUGGGGAGCAAACAGGAUUAGAUACCCUGGUAGUCCACACUGUAAACGAUGAAUACGAGGUGUGCGGGGACUGACCCCCUGCGUGCCGCAG